GGCUGGAUCACCUCCUAACCAGGGAGACAAUAACUGAUUGUGAUGUCUGAGUAAUUUAUUCUCAGGCCAUGAUCCUGUCAUCUCGAAGGUCGAUCGGUACCUCAACUUGAGGGUAAGAGAAGAGCUGAUUAAUCAGCUUGGAGAUUUAUCCAUCAAUUUCAGUUCCUAAACUUUGUCUAGGUCACCCCACAGGGUCGUCAGUUUAACUCAAAUUAUUUUACUUUGAGAAGGAUUUACUUUGAAAAGCAUUUUGCUUUGAGAUUAAAUAAGACGUUACUGAGCGGUAGCAACUCCUGGGCCAUUAGCUCAGGUGGUUAGAGCGCACCCCUGAUAAGGGUGAGGUCCCUGGUUCAAGUCCAGGAUGGCCCAUUCACCGCCUGCUGAGCAGGCAGGACUACAUGGCUGGGGGUUUAGCUCAGUUGGUAGAGCGCCUGCUUUGCAAGCAGGAUGUCAGCGGUUCGAGUCCGCUAACCUCCAUCCAAUGUUGAGGCUCUGCCCUCAGACCAUGACUCGGACCAUGCAUGCUUUUAAAGGAUGCUAGGAAAGAGUUAGGAGUUUUACUGUUGUGUUGAUCUAGAUGGUUGUUUGCUGAAGAUUUCAGCUUCUUUUCAUUCUUGUCUAGUCAAGAUCUAAUCAAAACCUGAUCAAGAUCUAAUCAAGACUAGUUGAAAAGACGCUGAAUUCAAUGCUGCCCUGGCAACAGGGCAGUUUGAAUAUCAGCAGAACCUUGACAACUGCAUAGUUGAAGUCUGGAAAUAAAGCAUCUCAUGGACGCUUGAUUCAGGUCUUAAGUCGAUUCCAGUAAUGGAUUUGAUUUAGGAUGUGAGUCAAGAAAAUUCUAUUGAGUUUUUAGAGCCGAGAGCUUCCAGUUUUCUUGUUUGUCCGCCGAGGGCAAACGAGUUUGAUCCUGACAUUCAAACCGCAACUUAGAGUCUGAGUAAUCAGGUUCAAACGUUGUA
rnacentral:tRNA from 1 species